GACGAACGCUGGCGGCGUGCUUAACACAUGCAAGUCGAACGGAGUUCCUUGGAUAGAGGCUUCGGCCAAUUGAAUUGGAACUUAGUGGCGGACUGGUGAGUAACGCGUGAGGAACCUGCCUUUCAGAGGGGGACAACAGUUGGAAACGACUGCUAAUACCGCAUGACACAUUCGAACGGCAUCGUUUGAAUGUCAAAGAUUUUAUCGCUGAAAGAUGGCCUCGCGUCUGAUUAGCUAGUUGGUAGGGUAACGGCCUACCAAGGCGACGAUCAGUGGCCGGACUGAGAGGUUGACCGGCCACAUUGGGACUGAGAUACGGCCCAGACUCCUACGGGAGGCAGCAGUGGGGAAUAUUGGGCAAUGGACGCAAGUCUGACCCAGCAACGCCGCGUGAAGGAAGAAGGCUUUCGGGUUGUAAACUUCUUUUGUCAGGGAAGAGUAGAAGACGGUACCUGACGAAUAAGCCACGGCUAACUACGUGCCAGCAGCCGCAGUAAAAC
rnacentral:rRNA from 1 species